rnacentral:tRNA from 1 species
UGGCUCAAUGGUAGAGCACUUGCCUUGCAUGCAUGAGGCCUGGGGUUCGAUUCCUCA